AAUGGUUGGGGGAGCAGAGGAUUGGGGGGAUUUCUGGGAUAUACCUUUGCUGUCAGCUCCCAACAGUGUAAGCCUUUUGCUUUGUAAUGCAU